UGGGGAAUAUUGCACAAUGGGCGCAAGCCUGAUGCAGCCAUGCCGCGUGUGUGAAGAAGCCCUUCGGGUUGUAAAGCACUUUCAGCGGGGAGGAAGGCGAUAAGGUUAAUAACCUUGUCGAUUGACGUUACCCGCAGAAGAAGCACCGGCUAACUCCGUGCCAGCAGCCGCGGUAAUACGGAGGGUGCAAGCGUUAAUCGGAAUUACUGGGCGUAAAGCGCACGCAGGCGGUUGAUUGAGUCAGAUGUGAAAUCCCCGGGCUUAACCCGGGAAUUGCAUCUGAUACUGGUCAGCUAGAGUCUUGUAGAGGGGGGUAGAAUUCCAUGUGUAGCGGUGAAAUGCGUAGAGAUGUGGAGGAAUACCGGUGGCGAAGGCGGCCCCCUGGACAAAGACUGACGCUCAGGUGCGAAAGCGUGGGGAGCAAACAGG
rnacentral:rRNA from 1 species